rnacentral:rRNA from 1 species
AUUGAACGCUGGCGGCAGGCCUAACACAUGCAAGUCGAGCGGAUGAGAAGAGCUUGCUCUUCGAUUCAGCGGCGGACGGGUGAGUAAUGCCUAGGAAUCUGCCUGGUAGUGGGGGACAACGUUUCGAAAGGAACGCUAAUACCGCAUACGUCCUACGGGAGAAAGCAGGGGACCUUCGGGCCUUGCGCUAUCAGAUGAGCCUAGGUCGGAUUAGCUAGUUGGUGAGGGAAUGGCUCACCAAGGCGACGAUCCGUAACUGGUCUGAGAGGAUGAGCAGUCACACUGGAACUGGGACGCGGGCCAGACUCCUACGGGAGGCAGCAGUGGGAAAUAUUGGACAAGGGGCGAAAGCCUGAUCCAGCCAUGCCGCGUGUGUGAAGAAGGUCUUCGGAUUGUAAAGCACUUUAAGUUGGGAGGAAGGGCAGUAAGAUAAUACCUAGCUGUUUUGACGUUACCGACAGAAUAAGCACCGGCUAACUCUGUGCCAGCCGCCGCCGUAAUAC